rnacentral:rRNA from 2 species
UAGGGAAUCUUCCGCAAUGGGCGAAAGCCUGACGGAGCAACGCCGCGUGAGUGAUGAAGGUCUUCGGAUCGUAAAACUCUGCUAUUAGGGAAGAACAAAUGUGUAAGUAACUAUGCACGUCUUGACGGUACCUAAUCAGAAAGCCACGGCUAACUACGUGCCAGCAGCCGCGGUAAUACGUAGGUGGCAAGCGUUAUCCGGAAUUAUUGGGCGUAAAGCGCGCGUAGGCGGUUUUUUAAGUCUGAUGUGAAAGCCCACGGCUCAACCGUGGAGGGUCAUUGGAAACUGGAAAACUUGAGUGCAGAAGAGGAAAGUGGAAUUCCAUGUGUAGCGGUGAAAUGCGCAGAGAUAUGGAGGAACACCAGUGGCGAAGGCGACUUUCUGGUCUGUAACUGACGCUGAUGUGCGAAAGCGUGGGGAUCAAACAGG